GACGAACGCUGGCGGCGUGCUUAACACAUGCAAGUCGAACGAAAAGAGGGAAAGAGCUUGCUCUUUCCGGAAUUGAGUGGCAAACGGGUGAGUAACACGUAAACAACCUGCCUUCAGGAUGGGGACAACAGACGGAAACGACUGCUAAUACCGAAUAAGUUCCAAGAGCCGCAUGGCCCAUGGAAGAAAAGGUGGCCUCUACCUGUAAGCUAUCGCCUGAAGAGGGGUUUGCGUCUGAUUAGCUGGUUGGAGGGGUAACGGCCCACCAAGGCGACGAUCAGUAGCCGGUCUGAGAGGAUGAACGGCCACACUGGAACUGAGAUACGGCCCAGACUCCUACGGGAGGCAGCAGUGGGGAAUAUUGGGGCAAUGGGGGGAAACCCUGACCCAGCAACGCCGCGUGAAGGAAGAAGGCUUUCGGGUGUAAACUCUUUUACCAGGGACGAAGAAAGUGACGGUACCUGGAGAAAAAGCCACGGCUAACUACGUG
rnacentral:rRNA from 1 species